rnacentral:rRNA from 1 species
AACGAACGCUGGCGGCAGGCUUAACACAUGCAAGUCGAACGCCCCGCAAGGGGAGUGGCAGACGGGUGAGUAACGCGUGGGAACAUACCCUUUCCUGCGGAAUAGCUCCGGGAAACUGGAAUUAAUACCGCAUACGCCCUACGGGGGAAAGAUUUAUCGGGGAAGGAUUGGCCCGCGUUGGAUUAGCUAGUUGGUGGGGUAAAGGCCUACCAAGGCGACGAUCCAUAGCUGGUCUGAGAGGAUGAUCAGCCACAUUGGGACUGAGACACGGCCCAAACUCCUACGGGAGGCAGCAGUGGGGAAUAUUGGACAAUGGGCGCAAGCCUGAUCCAGCCAUGCCGCGUGAGUGAUGAAGGCCUUAGGGUUGUAAAGCUCUUCUC